rnacentral:lncRNA from 1 species
GCAGCAUUUGCAUAUGUGUUCCGUCUGUGAGCAGAGAGGUGUCUGCUUGGGGGUGAGUGGAGAGGUGGUGGUGGGUGGCAGCCCUCUCCCGGCCCCGCGAGGCAUCGGGCACGCUGCCGGCCCCGCGGGGCGUCGGGCACCUUCGUCACCGGCUGCAGGGGUGAGGCCACCGCGGGCCACGUAGCGGGAGCUGGGCGCUGCCUCGCGGGUACCUGCAGCUGCAGCCAGGGCGGGGGGUGUCAGCGGUGGUUUUGGCUCUGGGAGCUGCUCUGGGCUCUUUCCCUGGCGGUGAGCCCACCGGCGAGCCCACCGGCCUUCCUGCUGCCUGCAGGUCCUGCGCCCUGCGCCCCUCCCAGCCAGAAAUGAGGCAGAGGCCGGGGGAUCGGUGUGGCCAUCAGCUGCAUGCGCCAAGCUCAUGUCCAGGACAGCUUGUCUACCAUUGCUUUUCUUUGCAGGCGUGUGCUGAGAUGUCCCCCCCCAACCUGCCCAGUGCCCUGCAGCCCUCACCGCUGUCCCCUCCUCAUGCACACCCUGCUCGGCUGCGCACCCCUGCAGCCCCCUGGCUCCCCUCGCGCUGUUCCUGUGCCCUUGAGCUCUCACCGCUGGCAGAGCAGCAGCCUCCAGCACAGGCUCCUUCUUCCUCACCAGCAGGGACACAGAGCUGGGCUGGGGCUCAGCUUGCGGGGGCAGCCCCUCAGCUCCUGCCCACACCCCUGGCCUUAGCCCGGGGGUGCCAGCAGCAGGCUGACUCCUUGCGCUCACACCGAGGAGCUGCUGCUGCACGUGGGUGCUCGUUGGCUGCCUUCUGCGCACCCACAAGGCUUGGGGUGAGCCACGGCCACGCUCUGGGGCACUCAGCGUGCAGCAACGUGACCGCUCUCACCCUGGGGGGGGGCACACGAAGACACGCACCGAGGGGCGGUGGCUCACCGGCAAAGCACCGCCGCAGAGCCUCGCUUCGUGUGUGCGCGUGUAACCGUGCACGCGUGCGCACGGAGCUGCACCUAAGGGUGUGCAGGGCACGUGAAGCCAUUCGUGCACACUCAGCAGGAUGCGUGCACGCCAGCAGCCGCAGGCAUUUGUUGCGCUCGUCUACACCCUCGGUGCAGGUGUGCGCCGGGAUGUGCUGGCGCUGGGAGACGUCUUUGACGCACACCUGUUGGCACCCGCAGACGUGCGCAGCGCGCACAGACACGGGCACCCGCACGCCUCCUCUGCUCCCUCCCCACCCGCAGCCGCUGGGUGUGCGUUGCACGCCCUGGCACGCACAGGUGCAUGCUCGGGUGCCUCUCCGCAGCCCGGCAGAGCCUGCCGCGGCACCGCGGCACCCUGCCACCGCAUUAGCACCCGCGCAGCGCCCGCGAGAUAAAUGGGAGCUGUCAGAAGCACCUUGUUUGCUGCUAACCUUUGGAAAUGCCACACCGCCCCAGGCUGCGCCGCGCGGGGGGGAGCGGGCCCGCAGGGAUUGUCGCUCACCACCUCCAAUUAAUCUCUUUGCACUAACGAAG